rnacentral:rRNA from 1 species
GAACUGAAACAUCUAAGUAGCCAGAGGAAAAGAAAGAAACCUCGAUUCCGUCAGUAGCGGCGAGCGAAAGCGGAUAAACCAGUAGCGACGUGAACCGUCUGGAAAGGCGGACCGCAGAAGGUGAAAGUCCUGUAGCGGCGUAGCUGGGGAGCCCUCGAGUAACACGGAGCUCGUGAAACUCCGUGUGAACAUGGGAGGUCCACCUCCCAAGGCUAAAUACUCCUCGACGACCGAUAGUGAACCAGUAAGGCGACUGAACGAUGAAAAGCACCCCGACAAGGGGAGUGAAAAGUACCUGAAACCAUGAGCCUACAAGCUGUGGGAGCCCACUUCCGUGGGUGACCGCGUGCCUUUUGCAUAAUGAGCCGACGAGUUGCUCUCUGUGGCAAGGUUAAGCCAGAUCCUGGCGGAGCCGAAGGGAAACCGAGCCUGAAACGGGCGUCGAGUCGCAGGGAGCAGACGCGAAACCGGGUGAUCUACCCAUGGGCAGGUUGAAGGUCGGGUAACACCGACUGGAGGACCGAACCCACUAACGUUGAAAAGUUAGGGGAUGACCUGUGGGGAGGAGUUAAAGUCUAAUCAAACCCGGA